rnacentral:rRNA from 1 species
CACGUAGGCACCAAGCGUUGUCCGGAUUUAUUGGGCGUAAAGAGCUCGUAGGCGGUUCAGUAAGUCAGGUGUGAAAUCUUUGGGCUUAACCCAAAGCGUGCACUUGAUACUGCUGUGACUUGAGUUCGGGUAGGGGAGUGGGGAAUUCCUAGUGUAGCGGUGAAAUGCGCAGAUAUCAGGAGGAACACCGGUGGCGAAGGCGGGUCUCUGGGCCGUAACUGACGCUGGAGGAGCGAAAGCAUGGGGAGC